CAGUCUGUCAGCAGGAGGCCUGCCGAUAAAAAGCCAAGAGGACGUUUGUUUCAGGUUGUCGGGCUUUUGUAUCACGUCUGGAGGCUGAGGAAGAGGAAGAAGCCCCUCAUCUUGCAGGAAUCUACAUGGUGGAAGGAGAGAACAGACCAGACAUGACCUCUGACCUCCACAAGUUCUGUGUGGCAUGCACAUACAUGUCCCUCCCCACAAAAUAAAUGAGUGGGGGAAGAAAAGAUAUUGUCAGCCAUCACCCAAAACACAGCGAUGCAGUUCAGACUGCUGUGUGCCAAGGAGUCAGCUGGCCUGGCUUCAAAUUAUUGUUCUUUCGCGGUUUCACAUUAACUGUGGGCCCUGGGACAUGCUAUUUAACCUCCAUGUGCCUCAGUUUUCCCAUCUGAAAGGCAAGGAGACAAGCCCUCCUUUUGAGGACUAGCCACCCUCAGACGGAUCGAUCGCAUAGAGCACUUGGAACAGUGCCUACCCAAGACAUAUUCUGAGGACCCGGGAGUUAGCAGCACUUCCUUGGUUUCCUGCCCCCUUCUGGAUGCCAGUGGCAUGACCUAGGAGGGUGAACAGACUGAGGAAGGGAGGCGUUUUCUGUAACAGAAUGCCAAUGAACAAAUGGAGAUCAGAUGUUCAAAUCAUAAAAAUCCAAAGACGUGGGAGCGCAUGCUGAAACUAGGGGCCUCAAUGUGGUGAGGCAUGUAAUAUUUUUUAUACCCAUGGAGAGGAAGAAGUUCUUUGCAAUUCCAAAGUGAAACAACAAAAAACAAAUCAACCUGAAACUGGAAAUUCUACUGUACUCAGAAGCACAGACUUUCUUAUUUACAGGUGUCUUGAGGGGGCUCAGCUUGAGAAACGGAUGGAAAGGAAUGAGCGAGCAGAACUCUGGUUGCUUGGAAAUGUUAUCCUCACUGCACAUCAAGGGGCCUCGGGGACAGAAUUUAAAGUCACACUUGCAUUUGCUACAGCACGUCUUUCUGAUGGCCUUCCUGCGUCAGCAGAAUCGUUUGCCGCUUUCAGUCAACUUUAGAAAGCUUUUAGUAGGAGUUUGAGAUCUGGUCCGGUACUCUCUCCCAUAUGUGCUAGGUACAGCAGUAACCUAGUUUUGAAAUUCUCCAUCCUCCCCAGAUGAGAACACAGAGGCAGAGAAAGGAAAGUCUGGAGCUAAAGGUUGGGAGGCUCCUGCGACAGUGGGGACACGGCUCUGUAUUGCCUGUUGAUUUCAAGGUCUGGUUUAAUUGGUUUGUGAAUGAGGUUUCCUCCUUGCCUUGUAUGUAGGUAGCUAAUGAAAACAGCAUUGUGUGAUGUCACAAACCCAUUGUUGCCAGUUUUAGACUCAAGUGCAAAAAUUCAUUUUUGUACUUCGAACCCGAAAGUAGGUUAUUUGGAGUGCCACUUAGAGACCAGGAAACUUGGUCUCAUUUUAAGUUGAGGCUGCUCCUUAGAAUGUUGUCUUGGUCACUUCCUCCCUUGCUGUAAUUGACUCCAUGACCAAGACGACUUACGGAAGGAAGGAUUUACUUUGGCUUCUGGUUCCAGAGGGGUAAGAGUCCAUCAUGAAUGGACUGUGGUGGUGCAUGUCUUUAAUCCCUGCACUUGGGAGGUAGAGGCAGGCGGAUCUCUAUGAGUUUGGGGCCAACUUUAUCUACAAAAGGAGUUCUAGGUCAGCCAGGGUUGUUACACGGAGAAACACUAUCUCGAAAAACAAACAAAGAAAGCAAGGAAAAGAAGAGUCCAUCCUGGCAGCGGAAGCACGGCAGCAGGGAUGAAGAAAAGCUAAGGGCUCACGUCUUGCAUCAAACACAUGAAGCAGAGAUGGCCAACUACGAGUAGGGUUUGGCCCUACACUCUCAAAGCCUGUGUCUCCAGCAGGCACGUGCCUCCUUCAUUAAGACCAAACGUCCUCAACCUCUCGGACAGCGCCACCAACUGGGGACCAAGUGUUCAAGUACACGAGUCUGUGGGGGCAGUCUCAUUCAAACGACUGUAGAUGAUCUUCUUUGAAUCAUUAACCCUUUGUAAACAGAGAUGCUGCAAAAGUAGGCUCCUCCUUUAGGGAAGGAGGUGUUGAGCAUUCCUUCCAAAUGCUCACAAGGAUAAAAGGCUUUCAAACUUGGACUUGGGAGACACUAGCCAAAGGCGAUUCUUAUUGCUAUGCUUCUUUUCUAUCUUGCAUGGGAAAUGCAAAGAACUUUUUUUUUUUGAAGUGGCCUUUAAUGCAAUGAUGUAGUUUAAGAUUCAGAGCCACUGUCUGAAUUACUCAGUGUAUGAUAUACCCCACUUGAGACCAUGAACUCAAGGGCACUAAAUUUUAUUUGAGGGUAAAAUUCAAUCAACGGUUACAGAUAGUCAACUUAUAAAGAGGUUUAGGGACUUAAUAGAUCUUGAAGUAUUUUUGAUUUCUUUAAAUAAAUGUGUUUCAACAAUUCAGGCAUGACUGAUGUUCUGAUUGCCACAGAAUGUGAGUUCAGUCGUUGGGAUAGCUAAUAGAUUUCCUAUCAGAUGUCUUUAUUUUCUCCUCCUCUUCCUCCUCUUCCUUC